UACAGAGGUCCCAAGCGUUGUUCGGAUUCACUGGGCGUAAAGGGUGCGUAGGUGGUGAGGUAAGUCGGAUGUGAAAUCUCGGAGCUCAACUCCGAAAUGGCAUUGGAAACUACCUUGCUCGAGGGUUGGAGGGGGGACUGGAAUUCUCGGUGUAGCAGUGAAAUGCGUAGAUAUCGAGAGGAACACCAGUGGCGAAGGCGAGUCCCUGGACAACUCCUGACACUGAGGCACGAAAGCUAGGGGAGCAAACGGG
rnacentral:rRNA from 1 species